GCCCGGCCUAUAAGCAUCAACUCAACUAAUACUCAUUCAAACUUUUCGGCUCGUCCCGUAUACUUCUAUAUAUUUUAUGUGUGCUUACUUAUUUUUUGGGAAAUGUUGAAGUCCUUCCUGUAACAAUUAUAUUUAAAUAUAUAUAUCGAGUGUGCUGGCUUUUGGAUAUUUUCAACCACAUCGAAAUUUUCUGAGAGCUACACUGAGAUUAUUAUUGGAUAUAAUUAUUGUAGUACCUUUUUCCGUGAAGAACCCAAGAAUAAUCACCUAGCAAAAUGUGUUGCGGACCUUGCUACUCCUGUUGUGGACCUUGCGGUGGCUGCUGCGGACCCUGCGCUGGCUGCUGUGGACCCUGUGGCGGAUGUUGCUAUCGCUAUUCCUGCUGUGGACCCUGUUUUGGACGCUGCUGUGGCGGCUGUGGACCCUGUUGCUAACUACUCUGCUCUUCAGAAGGAAAUCUAGGUACUAUCAAACCAUAAGUGCACGAUAGAAAUGUCACCAUACCUUACAUACAUGUCGAAAUUUGUAUGUUU